AACGAACGCUGGCGGCAUGCCUAACACAUGCAAGUCGAACGAGACCUUCGGGUCUAGUGGCGCACGGGUGCGUAACGCGUGGGAACCUGCCCUUAGGUUCGGAAUAACUCCCCGAAAGGGGUGCUAAUACCGGAUAAUGUCUUCGGACCAAAGAUUUAUCGCCUUUGGAUGGGCCCGCGUUGGAUUAGCUAGUUGGUAGGGUAAAAGCCUACCAAGGCGACGAUCCAUAGCUGGUCUGAGAGGAUGAUCAGCCACACUGGGACUGAGACACGGCCCAGACUCCUACGGGAGGCAGCAGUGGGGAAUAUUGGACAAUGGGCGAAAGCCUGAUCCAGCAAUGCCGCGUGAGUGAUGAAGGCCUUAGGGUUGUAAAGCUCUUUUACCCGGGAUGAUAAUGACAGUACCUGGAGAAUAAGCGCCGGCUAACUCCGUG
rnacentral:rRNA from 1 species